AUUUGUUGCAGAAAGGAGUCGUACCGCUCUGUCGCAUUUCUUCUGCAUUUCAUCCGUCUGUUCCAUUCCUCUCUUCUUCGAGAUCGAGGUGGGAAGAAGAGCAACAGGCAGUCUCUUGUCCGCAGCGAUCCAAAUCUGUCAUCAUGAUCAGUGGAGGGCUUCUCAAGAUCCACCCCUCCGAGCUCAAAUUGCCUUUCGAAGUGAAAAGGCAGAGCUCUUGUUGCAUGCAGCUGACCAACAAAACAGAUAACUAUGUAGCUUUCAAGGUUAAAACAACAAGCCCCAAGAAAUAUAGCGUGCGCCCAAACAUGGGAAUUGUUCAGCCCAGGUCCGCAAUUACCAUAACAGUGACAAUGCAAGCUCAGAAGGAAGCUCCACCUGAUUAUCAAAGCAAAGACAAGUUUCUUAUCCAGAGUGUUAUUGCAAAUGAUGGAGCAACAACCAAGGACAUUACUGCUGAAAUGUUCAACAAAGCACCCGACAAAGUUGUUGAGGAGUUUAAGCUACGGGUUGUUUAUAUACCUGCUAAUCCUCCCUCACCAGUUCCUGAGGAAUCAGAGGAAGGAAUUUCCCCACGGCCAUCCAUGCUAGAGAAUAAAACUCAGAGUUCAACCUUGUUUGAUGCUGUAUCAAGAUCCUUAGAAGAAGCUCCUAGAGAUGAAUCUGAGGAGGAGGAGACUAUGAUUUCAAAGUUGACUGAGGAGAAGAAGUAUGCAAUGCAACAAAAUAAGAAGUUGCAAAAAGAGCUGGUACUACGACUUGUAAGUUGUAAGAACAAAUGACCCAAGUAAUUUUCAGAAUGUGAUAAUCCAUAAAAAGACAUGUUAGAGUGGGAUAAUGAUAUAAGCAUUAUAGAAAGGAACUGCUAAGACAAGAAAGGCGCAAAAACCGUAGCGGUUUCUCUGUCACGUUUGUUACGAUUGUGGCUCUUUUGGGGAUCAUCAUAGGCUUUCUCAUCAAGAAAACAUAGAAACACAGACCGAUUACGUGGAAGUUCCUGCUUCAAGCAUAUGUUGUCUUCAUGCGCCUAACAGAAUGGCUUCCCCAUGAGUAUUGAUCUAUAUAUGAGUUGAUUCAUUUUGUCAAAGACAAUGAUCAUUUGUGCAUUCGAGUUCAUCA